rnacentral:rRNA from 1 species
GUGGGGAAUAUUGGGCAAUGGGGGCAACCCUGACCCAGCGACGCCGCGUGGGUGAAGAAAUCCCUCGGGAUGUAAAGCCCUGUUGUAUGGGAAGAGCAGAAGACGGUACCAUACGAGGAAGCCCCGGCAAACUACGUGCCAGCAGCCGCGGUAAUACGUAGGGGGCAAGCGUUGUCCGGAAUUACUGGGCGUAAAGCGCACGCAGGCUGAAUUAUAAGUCGGUAGUCAAAUACGGAGGCUCAACUUCCGGAUAUCUAUCGAUACUGUAAAUCUAGAGUAUGUGAGAGGGAAGCGGAAUUCCCGGUGUAGCGGGGAAAUGCGUAGAUAUCGGGAGGAACACCAGUGGCGAAGGCGGCUUCCUGGCACAAUACUGACGCUCAUGUGCGAAAGCUAGGGCAGCGAACGGGAUUAGAAACCCCGGUAGUCC